UUAUUUAGAAGCUGACGGGUUUAGUCACUUGCAAACCAAACUUUGGCGUCCAGGAGAGUUUCUAAUACAACUAGAAGCUUCUAAUAUCACCUCGAGCUUCAUUCUCAGCCAUUGGAUUAAGUGGAUUCCAUCUUGGCCAUUCAUACACCAAGACUUUCCAUAUCUAGACUCAAUUGCCUUCCAUGCACUCCAACAGCUAAAUACAUUUA
rnacentral:lncRNA from 1 species